UUCAAACUUCAAACAAAAAAAAUAUUUUAGAAAAAUCACUUUAAUAAAAAAAAAAAAAAAAUCUGUCAUAGAAAAUAUUUAAAUGCAAACAAAUAUUUGACACUAAAAUUUACAUUUGAACACUUCAUUUUUUUAUUGAAAAUGUUUUCUUUGACAGAAGCAAUUCUUUAAGUGUCUGGGCCAUAUUGUGGGUAGGACAUACAGUAUAUGUCCAAAUCAUUCAAUCCCCCGCAAAAGUAGCUUUAAUCAAUAAAUAAAAAAAAAAUUCAAUCAAAGAAAAAGGUCAUAUAUAUUCAUAUACAGUGGGGCAAAUAAGUAUUUAGUCAACCACCAGUUGUCCAAGUUCUACUUGAAAAGAUUAGAGAAGCCUGUUAUAGUCAACAUGGGUAAACCUCAAACAUGAGAGACAGAAUGUGAAAAAAAAAAAACAGAAAAUCACAUUGUUUGAUUUUUAAUUAAUUUAUUUCCAAAUUAGAGUGGAAAAUAAGUAUUUGGUCAUCUACAAACAAGCAGGAUUUCUGGCUGGUAAAGAGGUCUAACUUCUUCUAACGAGGCUCCACUCGUUACCUGUACUAAUGGCACCUGUUUUAACUCAUUAUCUGUAUAAAAGACACCUGUCCAGAAACUCGGUCAGUCACACUCCAAACUCCACUAUGGCCAUGACCAAAGAGCUGUCGAAGGACACCAGAGACAAAAUUGUAGACCUGCACCAGGCUGGGAAGACUGAAUCUGCAAUAGGUAAAACGCUUGGUGUAAAGAAACCAACUGUGGGAGCAAUUAUUACAAAAAGGAAGACAUACAAGACCACUGAUAAUCUCCCUUGAUCUGGGGCUCCAUGUAAGAUCUCACCCCGUGGCAUCAAAAUGAUAACAAGAACGGUGACCAAAAAUCCUAGAACCACACGGGGGGACCUAGUGAAUGACCAAUAGAGAGCUGGGACCACAGUAACAAAGAUACUGUUGUCAGUAACACAACGCGCCGCCAGGGACUCAAAUCCUGCACUGCCAGACGUGUCCCCAUGCUGAAGCCAGUACACGUCCAGGCCCGUCUGCGGUUGGAGCAUUUGGAUGAUCCAGAAGAGGACUGGGAGAAUGUGUUAUGGUCAGAUGAAACCAAAAUAGAACUUUUUGGUCGAAGCACAGGUUCUUUUGUUUGGAGGAGAAAGAAUACUCAAUUGCAUCCGAAGAACACCAUACCCACUGUGAAGCGUGGGGGUGGGUGGUGGGUUUUUCUGCAAAGGGACCAGGACGACUGAUCUUUGUAAAGGAAAGAAUGAAUGGGGCCAUGUAUCAAGAGAUUUUGAGUGAAAAUCUUCCAUCAGCAGGGGCAUUGAAGAUGAGACAUGGUUGGGUCUUUCAGCAUGACAAUGAUCCCAAACACACAGCUAGGGCAACAAAGGAGUGGCUUCGCAAGAAGAAUUUCAAGGUCCUGGAGUUGCCUAGCCAGUCUCCAGAUUUCAACCACAUAGAAAAUCUGUGGAGGGAGUUGAAAGUCUUUGUUGCUCUACAACAGCCCCAAAACAUCACUGCUCUAGAGGAGAUCUGCAUGGAGGAAUGGGCCAAAAUACCAGCAACAGUGUGUGAAAAGCUUGUGAAGAGUUACAGAAAACAAUUGGCCUCCGUUAUUGCCAACAAAGGGUACAUAACAAAGUACUGAGAUGAACUUUUGGUACUGACCAAAUACAUAUUUUCCACCAUGAUUUGCAAAUAAAUUCUUUAAAAAUCAAACAAAGUGAUUUUCUGUUUUUUUUUUCUUUCCACAUUGUCUCUCAUGGUUGAGGUUUACCCAUAUUGACAAUUACAGGCCUCUCUAAUAUUUUCAAUUGGGAGAACUUUCACGAUUAGUGGUUGACUAAAUACUUAUUUUGCCCACUGUAUAUUAGUGCUGCAGCUAUCGAUUAUUUUAGUAGUCGAUUAAUCGACAAACUAGUUAGUUCAAUUAAUCGAACAGUCGGAUAAACAUAAAAAAAAUUAAAAUACCUGAGCUGAACCUCAAACGGUAUUAAAAUACGGAUCUGUGUACAACAAAAGAACAAUUGGCUAACUUACAUAGCAAAAGUCGCUAGCUUACAUGCUAUAAAAUACAUUUUUUUAACAAUGCUCUUAACAAAUGGUUGACACAUAUCCCACAAAAAUUGGCUAACUAUACCUUUAAAUUACGAAUGCAUUAAAAAACAUUAGUUCAAACAAAAACCUUGCUUAUGUUGGUCUUAACAGGGAGCAGUUGCAUUUGGGCAUGUAAAAUGAGCCAGAGUAGAGGGCAGUGUAUCCACCCAAAAUCAAUAAAACUAAAUGCAAACACUUACAAAAACAAACCAUUACAACGCCACUUAAAUUAAACGAAUACUCGAAGUAGCAAAUUUUAAUUUGAAUCUUUUUUUUAAUGGAAUACUAGAGUAAAUUGAUUAAUCGUUGCAGCACUAAUAUAUAUAUAUAUUUUUUUAUUGAAGGGCUGCAGCUAUUUAUUAUUCAGUUAAUCUAUCAAUAUAUCGAUUAGUUGGUUUGAAUAAUCGUGUAAUUUGAUUACAAACAUUUAAUGCGUUGCAGAGUUAAUUUUAGGAGACGUAAAACAAAAAAAAAGUGUUCAUGCUUGCAAUAAUUUAUUUAGGCUUGCUCAGAUCUUUCAAAAGAGCAACAAAUGUGAAUACAAAAUAAAAUACCUGAGUGUUUCUUCAAAGUAUGCAGAAUUGCACAUUUAUUUCACAAAAGCAAUAAGUAACAAAGAUACACUGAAAUAUGUGAGCUUAGCCUCAAACAUGAUUAAAAAUAAAACUAAAUAUGUGGGUCUAAAUAAAACAAAAGAACUGGCUAACUUGCAGAGCAAAAAAUCGCGACCUAAAAUGCAAUAAAAUCUUUUACAAAGGUUUUAACAAAUCGUUCAAACAAAAAUGGUAAACAUUCUUCUGAACUAAAUAACGAAUGCAUAAACAUAUAUGUUAGCUCAAACAAAAACGUGUCCUAUUUUGGGCUUAACAAGAAGCCACUGAAUUCAGCCAUGUUAGAAAUGUGAAAUAUGUCAUUCUCUAUUGCAGCUACAGGGCAGUGAUGCCACCCAAAUCAAUAAAACUAGAUGUAAACACUUUCAAAACAAACCAUUUUAACGCCACUCUAAUUCAACGAAGCUUCGAAGGAGCAAAAUUUGAAUUGAAGCUUUUUUUUGUCAUUGAAUUACUCGAGUCAAUUGACUAUUUUUUUUGUAAAUUUUUAUUUUAUUUUUUUCUCAUUUUUUAUUUUGGCCAUCAAAAGACAUGUUGACCUCCUGCAAACAUGGCUUCUCGUAAGCGAUCAAAUAGAGGAGGAAAAAGACGGCUGAGGUAAAUGGAUCACACAGUAAACUGCCUGCCUUAGUUUUACUCUUGACGGUUUUCGUUUUCUUUUCGAUGGGCAGCACAUUUUGUCGUGAUGUCUGAUUGAAGCAACUCGUGAAGUCCGGGUACUUUUUUUCUGACUUCGCGACUAGGGCACCCCCCAUUUCGAGUGGCUUUCCAAUGAUAUUCAUUCUGGUCAGAGGUUGGGCAACUAAAAUUAUCUUUGCUUGGAUCAAUUAUUUAUCUAAAAUAUGGGACAAAAUGCGACAUUAACUGAAAAAAGUAUAAUCAAGCAAUGGUUUUGAGGUAGAUAUCCGUAACGGCUGGGUUGAAACAAAAGCGGUUGCGCGACGUCUGUAAGCGGGGGUUUCCAGGGUAAAACGGACAAGUUAAAAAUAGUUCGGGCGCUUAAUGCACCAUGAUUCUGCUAUGGCAGCAUAUAGACAUAUUGUUCUAUCAAACACAACAGUUCUUUUGGCUUAAAAUACAGCAGUUUCUACAGCAGUGCAAGAACAGAAACUGCUUUUUCAGUCUUGUCUGUGUUUUUCGCUAUAUAUGUAAUUAUAAAAAUUAGAAAUUAGAUUUUAUCUUUACUGUGCGCCACAAUCUUUUUUAUGUAGGGAAAACCCUGAACUAGUGUGAAAGAAUGGAAUAUAACCAGUUUCAGAACACUAACUUCAAUUUUCCAACAGGAUUCAAAACAAUUCUUAUUCUUUUUGUGUCGUGUCUACAUUCUCGGCAUUAGACUGAGCACCAGCAGAGUAGAUAAAUGUCACUUAUCACUGGAGUGAAGUGCGUGAAAAAAGACUGAAUGAUGCACAAUGCUGAUAUACCUUCGCUGGGAGCUAUGAUGAAGCAUGAGUAUAAAUUCUAUUUAUUAUAAUUUGAUGUAGAUGAAGCAAAAUAGUAAGGAUUUUAACGGAGGCGACAAUGCGCUACGUUAAGUAAUUUAGCUGCUUUUUCAGCUCAUUAGCCCGACAUUAGCCCCGAAUACUUUAUUGUACGAGCCACAUAAAGGUAACUUCAAUUUAAAAAAUUCUCCUGUCAUCUUCUUCCCUUCCAAAAUUAUACCUGAGUCACUGCGCUUCAGAUGUUCGUUCACAGCGGAUGCUCUAAUGUCAAGCCCUUUGAAUUCAUUUCAGUUGGAUUGGAUGAAAACAAAACAUGAAUUAACCAUAAAUAUGAUCUAUAUGUCAACCAAGCCCGUUGUCCAAAGCACCAGGAGUCUGCAUGCAUCAAAGAGGAGGAAGAGUAUGGACUCAUCCAAGCUUUCGAAAAAUGUCUUGAUGAUGAGCGGCAGCAGCCAGAAUCUCCUUACAUUAAAGAGGAUGUUGAGCUUCCCCAAAUCAAAGAGGAGGAGGAGCCAGAGCCCUGUCAACAGGUCAAAGAAGAGCAACUUCCAAUCAAAAAGGAGGAGGAAGAGGAGGAGCUGCCAUAUGUUAAAGAGGAGGAAGGUAUCACCGGAUCGAGUGGUGAGCCCUUGAAGAGUGAAGAUGGUCUGAGUGAGGCCAGCAGAGGGGCGGAGCCUCCAAGCGGCAGCAGCAGCUCAAUAGAAAGAUUGCAAGCAGACAUUUUCAUCGCUCCAUCAGACAGAAAUGGCGCCAAGUCACACGCACCUUCUAAUGAUGAUGGUCAUAAGAAAUCUCACCAUGAUGACAAACUCUGCAAAUGCUCUCAGUGUGGGAAAACCUUUGCUAAUAAGUUUACUUGUCGUACCCAUAUGAGGAGCCACACUGGUGAAAAACCUUUUUCCUGCUCAGUUUGUGAUCAAAGAUUCACUCGCAAGUACACCUUAGAAAUACACGAAAGAACCCACACUGGAGAAAAACCUUUUUCCUGCCCAGUUUGUGGUCAAAGAUUUGCUGCAAAGCAAUACUUGAACUUACACACAAGAACACACACUGGUGAAAAACCUUUUUCCUGCUCAUUUUGUGGUCAAAUAUUUGCUCAAAAGCAUCACUUGAACUUACACAUAAGAACCCACACGGGAGAAAAACCUUUUUCCUGCUCAGUUUGUGGUCAAACAUUUGCUCAAAAGCAAACCUUGAACAUACACACUAGAAUCCACACCGGGGAUAAACCUUUUUCCUGCUCAGUUUGUGGUCAAAGAUUCAGUCACAAGAGCGUCUUAAAAAUACACGAAACUACCCACUCUGGAGACAAACCUUUUUCCUGCUCAGUUUGUGGUCAAAGAUUCAGUCUCAAGAAUACCUUACAAACACACGAAAGAACCCACACGGGAGAAAAACCUUUUUCCUGCCCGGUUUGUGGUCAAAGAUUCAGUCAAAAGGGUCAAUUAAACACACACACAAGAACCCACACGGGAGAAAAACCUUUUUCCUGUUCAGUUUGUGGUCAAAGAUUCGGUCACAAGAACACCUUAACAACACACCAAAGAACCCACACCGGAGAAAAACCUUUUUCCUGCCCAGUUUGUGAUCAAAGAUUCGCUCAAAAGCAACACUUGAAAAUACACACAAGAACCCACACUGGUGAAAAACCUUUUCCCUGCUCUGUUUGUGGUCAAAGAUUCAGUCAAAAGAGCACCUCAAAAAGACAUGAAAAAAGACACGAAAAAACCCACACUAGAGACUAAUCUUUUUCCUGCUCUUUUUGCGGUCAAAGAUACAGUGACAAGAAAAUCUUACAAAUACACGAAAGACCCCACACCGGAGAAAAAGCUUUUUCCUGCUCAGUUUGUGAGAAAGGAGUCACUCAACAGCCAACUAGGCUGUAUUGGGACCAUGGAAAAAGUGCUUAGAAAAUGGAUUUCGUGCCACUCAAGUGGCUACAUGAACUCCGCUUUAUUAUAAAUAUAUAUUGCUAAUUAGUACCCAAGAAAAUACCCCCCCCCCAAAAAAAAAAUUGAUAAUUAGCCUUUUUGUCACUUUAAAAAAAUAAUAAUAAACUGGUGCAGUGAUAUUUAGACGGUGUAGUAGCAUAGUCAGUGAGUGAAGUGGUUUUACGUCAUGUGCACCAAUAGGAGACAAGGAUUGUUGCCAUGGUUUAAAGAAAACAACUUGGCGUCAACCGCAUCCAGCGCCGACACGAACAAAUAUUAACAAAAGACAUUGGAAACAGCCUUUAAAAGACAUCGAAAACGAUGCUAUAUGCAUCUGUUUAUGUGUUCAGGGCGAAGACAUGCAAUUUAGACAAAAACUGUGGGAAAUUUACAGAGCCUGCGUCAGGCGAUGGCUUUCUCUGCAGGGUCCGUCCAACGACGUUGCAAAAAAUUAUAAACCUUGCGUCGACGUGGCUUUUUAACAACAUUGACAUUGACUACAAGUAAGCCACACACACGCCUUUUGUUGUUAAUUAAGGGGGGGCCACACACACGCCUUUUGUUGUUAAUUAAGGGGGGGCUAGGGGGCUUCAGGUCAGAUCACAUAUAAGACUUUAUUAAGACUUACAAUGUGAAUUCAGGGCUGUAACUGUUGAUGCUCAUUUUAAGAAGUCACCAUUAAUACGUUAGAUUGUUUUACAUUGAACAAAAGGUUUAGUUUGAGACUUGUAUAGCAUUGCCAUUAAAUAACUGGGAGGGGGUUGGUACAACAUGUAUAGUAUUGAGGCAUUGACAAACAACAUAGUCUUCAGUUUAACUAUAGUUCCCAAAACCGAUUUGAUAAUUUCAUUCAGGAAAAAUUGGCGCAAUAGACAGGCCUAGAUAAUUUAUCACAAUGGUUCAAACAUUGUUUGGGUGUGUGUGCGUGUUUUUCAAUACUGAAACGGCCUUCACUUACAGCUACAACUGUAAGUGACCAUCAAAAGAUUAUAGUUGACCAGGAAGUGCUGCGAAUGAAUAAGAUACAAAAGACAUUCGUUGACAUAUUACUGUAUAGACCCCAAUCACCAACGUCACACAAUCACGUGAUCGCUGUAUUGUGCCGCCAUAUUGUCCGUCAUUGUGUGUCUGUAUUGUCAAUGAUCGUAGUUUCUAAAGGUUGAUUCACUUGCAAAUAAUGGAAGCCCCGGUGCUUUCAGACGCUGUAAACUCAUUGGAUGAGUUGCAUUAAAUCCGUUAUUAGGAAAAGCUUUGGUUGAUUCAGUCGCCAGAUCCAUAUUUGAUGCCUAAACUGAUGUCCGGUCCCGUCCCGUGCGUCAGAGCUCGUCCUGAGAUCACAAAAUUUCCAAUCAUACUCCAGUUUAUAUCACGAUGAGUCAGGUACCCAAAAUCGGCACCGGCCCGAAUAUAAACCGACAUUUGGUCAGCUUAGCGUCACCGUUGUCACGAUUGUAAAAUGAAACUUGAUCGACAACGGGCCGGUGUGUGCCGAAAAAUAGCAGCCCCGCGUGAAAUGUCCCCCCUGACGGGAGCGCUUAUUUAUAACGCUUUAUUGACGUGGAAACAUGAAAUGUUUUCAUGGACGCAUUACAGUAAUGGAUUUACGACUCUUAAGAUCAGUUUUGAAUAAUUAAAUUACACAAAAUAUUUGUACUGUAUUUUAGUAACAAAUCGUGGACUAGGCCACAUAACCAUCUUUGAACAGAAAUGUAUUAGUCUACAGGAUUUCACGACCAUAUCCCAGUGACAAUCACACAGGUAUGACAUUUAUUAGUUCAAGCAGAGUAAAAUAAUACAUAUUCACGGUACAAGAAAGUCGUUUCCAUGUGGGCGCUCCCGUCACGGGGGACAUUUCUGCAGGGCGGCUAUUUUUCGGCACAACACCUGUUGUUGCGCUCACCUUCUUGCUGCGCGACUGUGGCGACGAGCUUCUUAGUCUCCGUCUGAUGAUGUCUGCGAUCGUGUUGGCAUCAUAUUGAUGUUUUCGUCACUGUCUAACGGCUGUCGACACAAACGCAUCAUGGACCAAGAUAAACAAACUGUGCUGCUUUAGAGAUAUGCCCUUUUAACAAUGGGCACACAGCAACUACUAAAAUUACCGUUUAUCUUCUCUGUCACUGCAACCAACCGCCACACAUGCCUUCACCAUUUUGAUUAAUCAAUGUUAACGAUUGUCAGGAAGGUUUUUGGGUUCAUUUACUAGGCGUUGAUUCCUUGGACAAGUAGAAAAACACGCAUUAAUAGGAGGACUGUACGUAGCGGUAAUACGUAAACACGAUGAGCUGAUGGACAAUAUGGCGGCACCAGUCAGGGGGGCGGAGUCGUGACGUCAUGUGAUUGGGGCCUAUAGGCACCAUGGAAAAAGUGCUUAGAAAAUGGAUUUCGUUCCACUACGCUGGAGCUACGCAUUCAAUGCAUUUUUUUCAUAGCCAAUACCCAUCUAAACUCUGAGUUAAAAGUUCUAUUCAGAAUAUUUGUCCGAACUUUUAUCCCCAGCCAGAAAUGUCUCUUGAUUUGAAUACACAUAACUGCAUAUCUGGUGCUGCUGUUAUUGCUUUUUUUAAGUGCUAUAUUAAUUCUGGCAACACAAACUCUAUCAAAUGUCAUAAACACAUCUACCAAAAAUUUGAAACAAGUAUUGAUGCCUUAGUCUACACCAGUGCUUCUCAAUUAUUUUCUGUCACGCCCCCCCAAGGAAGACGUAAAUGUUUCGCGCCCCCCCAAACUCUCUGCCGCCACUGUAAAUAGUAUCAUUUGUCUAUAAAAUUACUAUUAUAAAUACGCAUCUGCCUAACAUUGUUUCCUUUUUUUUUCUAAUAAAGAGAAAAAGUAACAUAGAUCAACUUAUAAUAAAGUAUAACUUUAUUAACAUUGUUUUGUUUGUAACAGAGAAGACUUGACGUGCAUCAAUUUGCCUGAAUUUAAAAAAAAGUCACAUCCAAACUGUAAAAAAUACACUCAAGGUACAUUUUUGACCAUACAGAAAAAUAAAAUGUAAUAAAAUCAGUAAAUAAUAACAAAUUAAAAUUGAUUAGAAACAUUCACUCAUGAGGACAAUAUGCCAAAAAAUUUGACCGAAAAAACAAAACUGAAUAAAAGGAAAAAAAAGUGUCCUUCGACAGGACAGCGUUUAUUUUUGCGGCUCACAGUAUUUACCUCCUUUGCAAUGGUGUGGAGUUAUUUUUCAAUGAGCAUGCUAACAAUGCUCAGUGGAUUACUGAUAUAACACUGACAAAGCAGGACAAUUGUUGGCAAUAUUCGGCACGUUUUCGCUGAAAAACAAUCAAGCGGCUUAUCAAUGAGAUUGGGGUCUAAUGUCUUUAAGUGGCGUCUUAAUUGAUUUGGCUUCUGGCUGUCCGCUAUAAUUAUUUUUAGACACAGUAAACAGUGGUCUUUCCUCAUCACCCACUAUAUUAAAAGUCAAAGCUAAAAGGCAAACGGCACGAAAAAAGCGCAUUCUCGGCGGCCGAGGUAGAACCGUAGGUGAGGGCGGUCGUCGUGCCGAUCCCAAGCCGAAAAUGGCACUUCUCGGGCGGCGACGUGAGAACCGGACAAGACAGUGGGUCGCUGCGUGAGUGAGUCCGGUCGGAAAACGGCUUUCGAAAACGGCGGUGGCACACUGCUCUUCAUAUCUGUUUUUCUGUGUGCGCUGAGUGCUCUUCCUUAGUUCAAAAAUACUGCGCGCACUCUGAAAAUGAGAGCGCCACUACCACCUACUGAGUGGAUGUGCAAGUACACUUUAUUCCAGUACGGCAAAAAAACAAAAAAUGCAUGUUCCCCGAGGUCACAUGCGCCCCCCCUGGCAUCGCUCUGCGCCCCCCCAGGGGGGCACGCCCCACUAUUUGAGAAGUACUGGUCUACACAUAGGUGAAUUCAGAGUGAGAAAUGUAGCUUAUUUCUUGAAACGCUUCAUUAUGUUUUUUGUACACAGCACAAUAAAAUAUAAAAUUUAGCUAAAAGCUUAUGUGUCUUUUAUUCAAAAUAUCACAACCUACUAUGCAAUGUAAGUUAUAAAAUAAAAAAUGCACACCAUGAUCAUAAAUGGCUGAAUAUCAACCAAUUCGCUACCACACUUCCUAAAUCUGAAUCAUGGCAAAAAUGGAAUUAGACAAAAAAUAUGUACGCAAAGGUUGGAAUCAUUCACAAGUAUGGUGUACAAAAUUUAUUUAAAUAUGGUUGUGUGUCUAAAUAUGAAAAUACACAUCACACAUAGAAAUAAUUGAAAAUAAUAAAAAUGUACAUGAUGACAUCUCAGUAUCACUUUCUCGCAUGCUUGGCACCAACAUACUGUAAAUCAGUACAAGACAGAUUUGCAGACAUACAAGAACAUAUUCCCGUUUUACAUUUGGUAAAGCUCACCUGCAAGGAUUCACUCGGAAGGAUCAUUUGAAGAGAGGCUUGGCCAAUGAUAUUAAAUUUUUG